UUUUAGCUUGCGUAUAGAUGUGUGGGUGUAGUGUUGUGUAGGGGUGUCUAUGUGUAAGUUUAGAUUAAUUUAUUUUUAUGUGGAUUCUCUGCGGAGGUUGGAGAGACGUACACGAUGUGGUUCUUUCCUUUUUCUUGUGUGGCAACGGUCAUCAUUCAUCAAAGCUUUGAUCAGGGAUAAGCCAAAGCUGCAAAAAACAAUUUGCAGACUCCGCAACAUAAAUCCAGUGCGCAGCACAUUGAUUUUGUUCGUCAUCAGUUCGCGCAGGGUGGUUAAUUCCUACAGAAUUGCUAUGUAACCUAUUCACUCUGUUCCAAUUUAUAAUGGAGAGUCAAACCAUUUUAUGUUUGAUCAAAAUUAUAGAGAGGAUCACAAAGAUUUAUGGCACCGAAUAGAUAUACUAUGAAAAUAUAUUUAAUGAAAAAACUAAUGGUACUUAUUUGGUA
rnacentral:lncRNA from 1 species